AUAAACUCAAAUAUUACAAACUAUCUAAUAUAUACCAUAAUUCAACUCAGAUUUAUUUGAUUUCAAAAUAGACAUCUUGUCCCAAACUAAUCAUCUCAACAAGUUUUGCAAAUCUUGUGGUUAAAACAUCCUUUCCUUUUCCAUUAGUUAUGUGUGAAUAACUAUCACGUGAUAUGCUUUUUACCCUUCAUGAAAUAAAAAAAAAUGAUGAUUUAAAUAUAAUAUAAACAAUCUAAUAAAAAAGAAAUAACUCGUUUCUUACUUGAUUAGUUGCUUGCCUUAAUUUUUUUUUAAAUAAAUAAAUGAAAGGAAUGAUAUCCACUGCAAAACAAGUACAUCAAGUAUGAAAAAUAUAUAUACGCACACUCAUCCCGCACAUGCACGGUUGUAUUUGUCACACAAUGGUACCAUUUAUGACAUAGUAUAUAUAUAUAUAUCAAAAUUAUAUAGAAACAUACGAAUUCAUCACACUAUCCAUUUCAUAACAUAAAAACAUUUCAUAAAGGCUUGUUCCUGUGCGAGUUUUGAAGAUAAAAGCAAUAAAACACUUUAGGGGAUUCAAUCAAACAUACAUGUGUAUAUCCAAAAACCUUUUUAAUGCAAGUUCACUCACCGAUACUUGUUGAACCUUUAAUCGACUCUAACUUCCCAAAUGGUCCAAAUGGGGCUGAGGGGCCUUGUUGGAACCUAUCACGCACAAAAACAUCACUGCCAAUCCAAUUUACAUUAAUAUCACUCUAAAAGCUAUUUCCCAAUUCAAGCUUCAAUAGCCCUUCCUAUCUACCUUCCAAUUACCAUUUGAUCGGCUAUUCCAUUUCUCUACUUUAGUAACACUAGAAAUAGAUAAACAAUUUCAGUAAAUAACACAACUCAUAACUCUAAUUACUAGCUAUCAUCAAUAACUUAAAACCAAUCCUAAUUCAUCACUCACCUUGGUGGAUGGUAAUGCAAUUUCUUCCCAAAAGUCCUCAAGCUAUCAUGAAACCUCUCUUUCUCUCUCUACAAAGUUCAGCUGGUGAGAGAAAGUAUUGAAGAAAGACUUUUAAGGGUUUGUUUAAGGUGAAGGAGUAAAAGAGUAUGAAAAACCCUACAACAGGGUGUGUAAAGCACGAAAAUUGAGGUUAGUUUGAGAGAGUGAUGGAAGCUUGAGAGAAACUUUCAUGGAAGAGGAGAAAAACAUGAGAUGGGAGAAGGAAGAAG
rnacentral:lncRNA from 1 species